UACGUAGGUGACCAGCGUUGUCCGGAUUUACUGGGCGUAAAGCGUGCGCAGGCGGUUUGCUAAGAGAGCUGUGAAAUCCCCGGGCUUAACCUGGGAACUGCGUUUCUAACUGGCAGGCUUGAGUGUGGCAGAGGGGGGUGGAAUUCCACGUGUAGCAGUGAAAUGCGUAGAGAUGUGGAGGAACACCGAUGGCGAAGGCAGGUCUCUGGGCCACUACUGACGCUGAGAAGCGAAAGCAUGGGGAGCGAACAGG
rnacentral:rRNA from 1 species